UUUUUUUUUUUUGAACCACAUUGGAGAGUGAAGGUCACCCUCUGCACUGUCUUAAGAGUGCGAGUGGAGCUCUUGAGUCCCUUCCCAGCCACACACAGAUUUUCAAAUCACUCCAAGCAAACGAUCCCAGCUCGCUCAUCCGGCCGGGGUGCCGCACCGUGCGGAGACCCCGGCCGGCACCCGGCGCGCCCCGACCCUCCCUCCUCCUGUCAGCGCCGGCGUGCCAGCAGGCACGUGCCACAGGUGGCCCCGGCCCCGGACGCCCCCCGCCCCGUUCCGCUCCUUCGAAAGGAAGAAAGGGAGCGCCAAGGGACCCCCUGCCUCUCGCCCACCACAGGGAAAGGGAAAGAGAGAGACGCACCGGACAGCCUGCUUGCAGAGAGCGGGAGAAGUGUCCUGAGCUUUCCCAUUGCGGCCCCAGGCUCGGCUCUCCGCCCUGGAGUCUCAGGACCUGUCCUAGAGACCGAAGUCCUCCCCGGCGCCCGCGACAGUGCCGCUCCGGCCCGCGCCCGCCGUCCAGGGAGCCCCGGCACCGCGGGUCCCCGGCCGAGGCGGCCUGCACCCCAGCUGCGUCCCCGCGCCCUCGGCCCCGGCCCCGUCUCCGCGCCCCAGCCGCGUCCCCGCGCCCGCGUCCCAGAUCCUGGCCGAGCUCUCGUCCCCGCUCGCCCCCAGCUCUUGUUCCCGCGCUCCCCGGGCCCCCUGCCCGCGCUCAGGGCGCAGAGGCCGGCGCUGGGCUCCAGACAAAGAGGGCGGCGGCGCGUGCCCCGCUCCGGUACCUGGGCGAGCGGCGGCGCGGUCCCGCGGGGCGAUGGCCGCAGCAGGCUGGGCGCCGAGCAGCGCGAGCAGCGCGCGGGCGGGCCGUCCUCCUGGCUCGCGGCCGCGCCCGCCGCAGGGCCCCCUCGAGGCGGCGCGGGCAAUCGCUACCGCCCGCGCCCGGGGCGGCCGGUCACCUGGCCUCCUCGCCCUAACAAUGCCCCGUGUUCCAGGCAGGCCUGCGACCCUGAGCGCCCCUGGGACCUCCCUGCUCUGGCCAGCUGGGACCGGGAAUUAUUAGACCCAUGGAGCAGCCCAGGCUCCAUGUGCUCACGGUGCUUCUGGGUCCUGGGCCGGCGAGUCGAGUCCUGGUUCCUGCACAACUGGUUCAUUCAUUCAUUUGGCGCUAUAAUGAUUGCGUUCUCAAGGAGGGAAACCUCCCUGCCCUCUGGUGGCUUACAGUCUAGUCCGGAUAGUGCACACAUAAAGCAGUACAGCCAUGACAGGGAAAGCCCAGACGCUUCAGAAGGCCCUGGAAGGUCCGACCAACGGAGGGAGGAGGUCAGGGAAGACUUUAGAAGUUACGUGAGGGGGCUGGCCCGGUGGCCCAGUGGUUAA
rnacentral:lncRNA from 1 species